CCUCGGGGCAGCCCCGUGGUCGUUGGGAGGACCCGACGCCCCGUUGCCAUGGAGCCCCGUUGCCAUGGGCCCGCGUCCUCGUAGCGCCGCGGAGGCCUGUGGGGGAGGCGGGGCUGGGAGCGGCCGCGGCCGCCUCCAGCCUCAGCGGCUCCCGUCGGCGCCGGCGGAGGGGCUCGGCCGGUCCGCUCGCUGAGUAGGCGGGCGCGGGCAGGGCUGUCUCAGUCGGCUGCCGCCCCUGCAGCAGCUGGUGCUCGAGGAAGAGAAUGCUCCUCUGUACGACUUCGUGCAGGGGCCAAAUGUGGCCGGAUCCGGCCCACGGAGCCCCGCCCCGCCCCGCCUCCGCGGGACCGGCUGGGCUGCACCGCGCGGCGCCUGCAGGCCCGAGACCAGCCCGGAGCGGAGGAGGCCGAAGUCGCUCCUUAUUCCCGGUUCCUUUUUCACAGCGAGUCUUCACACAGCGCAAGGUUGUCAGCAGUGCAAGACAAGACCCGGAGAUGGAAGUGGAUUCCCACCUCAGGAGGCUCCAAAAAGAAAAGCACAGCCAUGUGCUGACUGAAAACCUAACAGCGAUGGGACAAGGAGCAUGUAAGAAGAGAACUCCAUCAGGGAACAACUUGAAGUUUUACCAAAUACUUAGGAUGGCUGAGGAGGAGAACAGAUUGUCCCUGAACUCUUCCACUCACUUUCUGAGGACAGUACUUCCAGUGCCAGGGAGUCCCUGGACCAAUGCUGCAUCUGUUGUGGCUAGAGGCCUUCCACUCUGACAAUGCUCAUACCUUUAAUAAAAGAAAGGGGUCUGCUCAGCA